rnacentral:rRNA from 1 species
CGGGCGACCGGCGCACGGGUGCGUAACGCGUAUGCAACCUACCUUUAACAGGGGGAUAACACUGAGAAAUUGGUACUAAUACCCCAUAAUAUCAUAGAAGGCAUCUUUUAUGGUUGAAAAUUCCGAUGGUUAGAGAUGGGCAUGCGUUGUAUUAGCUAGUUGGUGGGGUAACGGCUCACCAAGGCGACGAUACAUAGGGGGACUGAGAGGUUAACCCCCCACACUGGUACUGAGACACGGCCCAG